rnacentral:misc_RNA from 1 species
ACGUAUCUCCGAUGGGGUGUGGUGCGCCCCGCUCCGGCCUGACCGGCCGUGCAGCGGGUGUGCCGCCCCUGUCCACACAUCACAAACCCACUGUGAACCUUCACGGCGGAGGGGUUCGGCCCAGUGCCGUGUCCCCGAAGCCGCAUUACCAAACUCCAGUUGCAAAGAAUGUCGUGCGGACGUUGUGCCGCCUAAAAACACAUAA